AAUGAACGUUGGCGGCGUGGAUUAGGCAUGCAAGUCGAGCGGUAGGAGUUCUCUCACCCCGAUCAUUUAGCCUCCGGUCAAUGACCGGAGGUUAAGUGGGCGAGGUGAGAGGACUCUGAGAGCGGCGAAAGGGAGAGUAACGCGUAGUUACGUACCUCGAGGACCGGAAUAGCCACGGGAAACUGUGGGUAAUGCCGGAUAACAUCUACGGAUCAAAGGUGUGAUUCCGCCUCGAGAGCGGACUGCGUCCUACUAGCUAGUUGGCGGGGUAAUGGCCCACCAAGGCGACAAUGGGUAGCGGGCGUGAGAGCGUGGCCCGUCUCACUGGGACUGAGACACUGCCCAGACACCUACGGGUGGCUGCAGUCGAGAAUCUUCGGCAAUGCGCGCAAGCGUGACCGAGCGACGCCGCGUGCGGGAUGAAGGCCUUCGGGUUGUAAACCGCGAAAGUGAGGAGGAAAUCGCUAGGGGUUCUCCCCUAGUGUUGACCUAUUCACAGUAAGGACGGGCUAAGUACGUGCCAGCAGCCGCCGUAAUAC
rnacentral:rRNA from 1 species